rnacentral:rRNA from 1 species
GCGGUGGUCCCACCUGACCCCAUGCCGAACUCAGAAGUGAAACGCCGUAGCGCCGAUGGUAGUAUGGGGUCUCCCCAUGCGAGAGUAGGGAACUGCCAGGCA